GCCUAACACAUGCAAGUCGAACGAGAAACUCCGAGCUUGCUCGGAGAAGUAAAGUGGCGCACGGGUGAGUAACACGUGGGUAACCUGCCCUUGAAUUUGGGAUAACUUCGCGAAAGCGUUGCUAAUACCAGAUAUUGUUAAUUUAGCUCCGGCUUUAUUAAUGAAAGUGUGACCUCUUCAUGAAAGUUGCCGUUUGAGUGAGUGGGCUCGCGUACCAUUAGCUAGUUGGUGGGGUAAUGGCCUACCAAGGCUACGAUGGUUAGCUGGUCUGAGAGGAUGAUCAGCCACACUGGAACUGAAACACGGUCCAGACUCCUACGGGAGGCAGCAGUGAGGAAUUUGCGCAAUGGGGGAAACCCUGACGCAG
rnacentral:rRNA from 1 species